UUCUGACCACGGGGCUAAAAGUUGUAAGUGCUGCUGCUUCAAUGGGACCCAAUGCAGCAGCCACUUAGCAUACCUAAAACUGGGAUUUAAGUGUCUAAGUACCUUUUGUGGAUAUGAGCUAAACUCCCUUUAUUUUGUCUCGUGCUAAUGGAAUAGUGAAACGUCACUCUGCACCCCCUUAUAUUUAUAAUAGUGACUUAAACUUUUGGUCCAAGUCAUUUAACAAAGUGUUUGCCUACGAUGGAAUGCCUAUCCCCACAGAGGUGAUGAAAAGGUGAACAUGGGAUAGGGAGGCCAAUGCUGCUUGCAUCUGGAGGCUGUGGUUGGCCUAAUUAAUGAUGAAAUCCAGCUGGGGAGGGGGCGGGAUAGACAGAGGAAGGUUAGACCAGAAGGGGGCUACAGGGAGAACCUCUGUAGUCACUUUAGGAGGGUGUAAAGAGACCUAUAGGGAAAAGGAAAGCUUUUGCGGGAUAAGUGGCAAGGCUGGGUAGGAAGAAGUCCGGUGGAGUGAACCUUGACUGCCUGUCUGAGGGUCUCUGGACUGGAAUCCCAUGUAGAGCGUGGGUCUGUGUUCCCUUACCAGCCACCGUGGAAGAUGGCAUAAAUAUCCUGACAAAAAGGGAUACAGACUUGUGAGAGCCCUGAGUAAAAGGAUGACUGGGCCACUAGGCUCAGAUGGAGAGAUUGGACACUUGUUUCUAUUAUCCUAAAAGGAGAGAGAUUUUUAAAGUGACUUGACUGGAGAGCCACAUCAAAAGAAGCAGCAGACCAGAUGGUGCAACACAGGACAGACCUGCUAUGCCGGACCCAGCUGUGAGGGGGUGCUGUAGCGAGCUUUUCAGAUGAAGAGAUUGCUGUAGAGGAGGGUGACCAAUCAGAUUGAAGGAAAGACAAUAGCUAUACUGGAUAAUGAAUCAUUUCACCUCCUGCUAUGAAUGAUGCAAUGUCUCUAACAUUUGCUUGGAAAAACAAGCAAACUGGAAACAGCAUCUAAGCCCUGAGGCAGCAUUUCUGGACACCACAAUGAAUGCAACAAAAGGAGAAAUUUAACAACAUAUAUAAACAACGUAACCAAUAUAAACAACAUAACUGAUAGCAGCAACACUCUAACACAUGAAGUCUUUUAGCAUGGGGUAAAUUAGUUAACAUCAAUCCCUUUUCUUACAUCGUUCCCUUUUUAAGGUUUCUCAACCUGACUGUUGUCAAAAUAUCAUUACUGUAGUGAAAACAAUUACCUAAUAAAGUGAAAAAAGCCAGCAGUAAAGGGAAAAUGUCACUGAUAUUUUUUAGACUGCUGAUUUGGGCAUAUUUUUUCCUUGGGAAUGUAUUUUUAAUUUCUGUAAAAGGAGCCAGGAGCCCAGGUUAGGCGCUUUGAUUUAGAUUUAUAGUAAAAUACAAUCAGUAAAUAAUUUUCAGUUUCUUUUCGUGCAGAAUUCUUCCAAAAACGUAACUGAAUGUCUUGCUUACUUGUAUUAUCUAGUUCCAUUUUCCUGUUAUUAAAAGUAAUAGAAAACAAAUUUCCUGUAGUUUAUGGAUAGAAACAACUAGGUAGAGCUUUAAAACCAAUCAGAUUUAUAUUCCAGUUUGACUAUAAUGUUGUCAACUUUCUAUGUUAGAGGUACUCAUUUAUUAUUUAAUAUAGCUAUUUACGGCAUUCCCUCAUUCUGCAAUCAGAACAACAAUAUUGCUUUUUGACGCUUGUUUUUUAACACAUAGCAUAUAAUCAUAUAGAGACAUCAUUUCCCUAUAAAAUUCUAUAGAACACGCCUAUUAAAAAAAAUUCUACUAAAUUCCAUAAUGUUGUGGGGUAAUUUCCACAGAAUUUUAAUAAACAUCUAUAGACUCCUAUUGUUUAAUUCCUAUUAGAUUAUAUAAGACUGUUCUAUAACAGAUGUUCUACUAAAGUCCUAAGAUCUUUAAAUAAAGGACUCACUAAUAAUCACAGAAAACAUCAGAACCAUCUCAAUUUUCAGCCUAAACCUCAAGGCAUUUUGGACAGGUUUAUGAUAAUCCACCAUAAUCUUUUGUACUGGUAUAGUACCUACUAAUUCAAGAAUCUGUGAGCCUUACAGAGGAGUUUGAAUAUUAUCCUCUUUUUACAGAUGGGGAAACAAAACAUAAAGAGGUGAAGUGACUUGCCCUUCUCAUUCAUGUGAUCCAUCAGUGACAGAGCUGGGAACCUAGCUAAAUACCAACACUUAGAUACUAUAGUGGCAGACCCCAUAUAAAUACACUAGACAGAUAUACAGACAUCAUCCUGGAAUCUAAACAUUCCACCUGUCCUGCAAGAAAAGAGAGUGUGUUUUUGCCGCAUGAACUCAAUAUUAUUCAAUUGAAAUAACUAGAGGUUUUUUUUUUUUAACUGAACUUAAAAAAGGAAACACUGUAAUGAAAUUUUUCCAACAUUUUUUUACAUCUGUAGAUCUGGUGACUUUUUUUAAAUUUCAACCUAAUUUCAAUUUAAUUUUAUUUGGACUGUCCAUCACAGAGUAUCUAAGAAUGUGUAUAAAAUUAUAACCUCAGAUAAUGGAUGUACUAAACUCAUUUUAUACCAUUACAGCUGGUGCCUUCACAGAAUUCAAUUUAUGCAAAUAAGUUGUCUAAUCAGUGUGUCCAACUGUUUAGAUUGUCAGGUCGAGUAGCAGUAGUAAAAUUUGUUUCCCUUUUUUAGCUCAGUUUUCCUCAAUCUUUAUUUUAUGAAAUAUCUGUAAUUUUUAAGAGACAAAAAUCCAAGCACAACUUUGUUUUCCACAAUUAGGCUAGUCCUUUUUGAGCCACAGUUAAGCCAAAGUAGCUGAGACAGAAGGGAUAUAUUAUUAUCACUACAUUCUGAAUCAAAGAUUUUGUACGGUAGGUGAUCCAUUAUUUUUGUCAUGUGGCUCUCCUGUGUACUGUUCACCCUACAGAAGGGACUAUCUCAAAAAGCAAUAAAUAAUGCAUCAUAGCCAUUAAAUAUUGAUCUGGCUUAUACCAUUCAGAGCUGCACAAUUAGGUUAGCUUUUUAAAAAUAGCUUCUUGUAUAUUACACAUCAAGAGAGGAGUGUUUGCACAUUCUCUCUGUAAAAUACAUUAGUUGAAUUUUAA